rnacentral:rRNA from 1 species
AGCGGCGGACGGGUGAGUAAUGUCUGGGAAACUGCCUGAUGGAGGGGGAUAACUACUGGAAACGGUAGCUAAUACCGCAUAACGUCGCAAGACCAAAGUGGGGGACCUUCGGGCCUCAUGCCAUCAGAUGUGCCCAGAUGGGAUUAGCUAGUAGGUGGGGUAACGGCUCACCUAGGCGACGAUCCCUAGCUGGUCUGAGAGGAUGACCAGCCACACUGGAACUGAGACACGGUCCAGACUCCUACGGGAGGCAGCAGUGGGGAAUAUUGCACAAUGGGCGCAAGCCUGAUGCAGCCAUGCCGCGUGUAUGAAGAAGGCCUUCGGGUUGUAAAGUACUUUCAGCGGGGAGGAAGGCGAUAAGGUUAAUAACCUUGUCGAUUGACGUUACCCGCAGAAGAAGCACCGGCUAACUCCGUGCCAGCAGCCGCGGUAAUACGGAGGGUGCAAGCGUUAAUCGGAAUUACUGGGCGUAAAGCGCACGCAGGCGGUCUGUCAAGUCGGAUGUGAAAUCCCCGGGCUCAACCUGGGAACUGCAUUCGAAACUGGCAGGCU